ensembl:ncRNA lncRNA:CR43437 long non-coding RNA:CR43437
GCUUUUAUCAUCAAUUUUUGAAUUUAAAAUUUUGUUUUUUUGCAAACACGCGCCAUGUUUAUUUUUUUCUUUUAAUUUUUCUCGCCUCCAAUACCGGCGCUUUCCUGCGUCCCAUUUUCUAUCAGCCCGGCCCAUUUGGACAACCGAACAGCGAACACCCACACCCACCAACAUCACCAUCACCACCCACCAUCGCAACUCAAUUCUAACGUCCAUUUCCACCCCCAUGCCGACUUGGCCCAGAAUUGCGUUUUGUUUUAUUACGCGAGCAUUUUCUUUCAUUAAUAGCCGCGAGGCAUUAAAUUUUUAAAUCAUCGUCUUGCGUAAGGAGAGGAGUGGAUGGAAAGCAAGGCCAAGAAACAAGGAAGUGCUGGGGACGGAAAAUGGGAUGGAUGGCUAUUCGAUAGCGGACAGGAGCAAGUACCGAAAGAAGACUUCACUAAUGAUGCCCUUGGUACAGUCGCGUAUAAUUUCGUACAGUGGUCCUGGAAAGGGCGAUUUUCCUCCUCUGUUGAAUAAACAUCAUUGACUAGGU